rnacentral:rRNA from 1 species
UACAGAGGGUGCGAGCGUUUAAUCGGAAUUACUGGGCGUAAAGCGUGCGUAGACGGCUAUCUAAGUCGGGGUGUGAAAGCCCCGGGCUCAACCUGGGAAUUGCAUUCGAGACUGAAUAGCUAGGGUACGGUAGAGGGAAGUGGAAUUUCCGGUGUAGCGGUGAAAUGCGUAGAUAUCGGAAGGAACAUCAGUGGCGAAAGCGACUUCCUGGACCAGUACCGACGUUCAGGCACGAAAGCGU